rnacentral:rRNA from 1 species
CGGAGGGUGCGAGCGUUGUCCGGAAUCACUGGGCGUAAAGGGCGCGUAGGCGGUCUGCUAAGCGUGCGGUGAAAGCCUGGGGCUCAACCCCAGGUCUGCCGUGCGAACUGGUGGACUCGAGCACUGUAGAGGCAGGUGGAAUUCCGGGUGUAGCGGUGGAAUGCGUAGAGAUCCGGAAGAACACCGGUGGCGAAGGCGGCCUGCUGGGCAGUUGCUGACGCUAAAGCGCGACAGCGUGGGGAGCAAACAGGAUUAGAUACCCUGGUAGUCCACGCCGUAAACGAUGGGAACUAGGUGCUUGGGGGAGCGACCCCCUGAGUGCCGGCGCUAACGCAUUAAGUUCCCCGCCUGGGGAGUACGGCCGCAAGGCUG